AUAUAUUAGGUGGGAGUGACAGGUUUCCCUACCCCGUCAUCUUCUUCGCAUUAGGGUUCUUCUCGUUCCCUCAAAUUCUGAGAAUUUGACCACCAAUUAUUACUGCGUUUUAAAAUCUGACAUUUGUCCGUAUCCAACGAUUCAGCAGAAGAUCGAAAUUCUUCGGCGUCUUCGGUUCGGUUACGGUUCUACGUGGACAAUUACGUAUGGCUUCAUCCUCGAUAAUCACUCCCGAAGAUGUGUUGGAGUCGCUGAUGAACGACGGCACAAUUGAUGCCCUCAGACUGAAGAUCAUCAACCAGCUCAAAGCCAAUGAGGAAUUGAAGAGUACUACUAUAAAGAUGGCUGAGCAGAGUAAGGUUCUGAACACCCCUGGGGCUGAGAAACAGACCAAAAGAGAGCUCUUUGACGCACUUCGGCAAGAACUUGAAGCUUCUGUACUUGAAAAAGCCUCAAAAUCAGUUUGGGAUUUAAUUUUAGACAAUAAUGGCCUGGGUAAGGAGAUUAGUGAAACGGUUGAGCGAGUGUUUUGUCGAUUGAGUGGCCAGGAACCUCCAUUAUUUCCACUUCCGAAUGGAGAACCACAACCUGAUAAGGAGACUGACAACAGAAAAGAAAAAGGAAAGCAGAAGGAAAAUGAAAACACAAAUUCAAAUACUCCAUCUAAGAAAAGAAGCUUCAGUGAAAUAAAUUUGGAUGGAGCAGAUGAAACUGCAACCAGGUCCUCUGAUCCUGCAGCAGUAUUGGAAGGUUCUGGCAAAUCGCCCCUAUCAAUUUCUAAGACUUGACUUGCAAGUUUGACGAGCCUUUUGUAACAGAAGUGAUUGCAUCUGAUUAAGGCGAAUCAUUGGCAUAUCAAGAAAACAUUCCUUUUGCUUUUGGAGUGCGAGAUGUCUACAACUACAAGCUCCGCAAUUGCUUUGGGAAGAUACUUGCGUGAACAUUUCACUAUGGUACAGAUGAAAAGAUGACCACAUCCAGCUUCAACCUUUCAAGUUGGAAGAGUUCUUUCAUCUAACUUGAUCUGAUCAUUAUGGAGUCAGGACAAAAGAUUUACCAAAUAUAAAAUAUCUUUGUGGAUGAAUUCAGCUCACAGCUCAUAUCUAUCUAUCUACCUAUGUAGUAUCCAUUUGAGAAUAGUUUACACUGCAAGUGUUAGUUUCUUAGCCAAUGUUUACCCACCAAAAAAUGAUGGUAUGUUAGAAAACUCAUAAUAUGAACAGUUGAACACACACUACCAUAAAGAUGUGACAGGUGAAUAAUUUUUUUUACUCUUUCACUAACUUUUGUAUUUUAAUGACAUAGAGAGGCAUUAAUUUAUAUUA